UAGGGAAUAUUGCGCAAUGGAGGAAACUCUGACGCAGCGACGCCGCGUGAGUGAUGAAGGCCUUAGGGUCGUAAAGCUCUGUCGUAAGGGAAUAAGUUCUGAAGGUACCUUACAAGAAAGGAUCGGCUAACUUCGUGCCAGCAGCCGCGGUAAGACGAGGGAUCCUAGCGUUGUCCGGAAUUAUUGGGCGUAAAGCGGGUGUAGGUGGCUUAACAAGUCAGGAGUGAAAGCCCUGGGCUCAACCCAGGAAGUGCUUUUGAAACUGUUAAGCUUGAGUAUUGGAGAGGGUAGUGGAAUUCCUGGUGUAGUGGUGAAAUACGUAGAUAUCAGGAGGAAUACCGGUGGCGAAGGCGGCUACCUGGCCAAAUACUGACACUCAGACCCGAAAGCAUGGGGAGCAAACAGG
rnacentral:rRNA from 1 species